GGGGAUGUUUUGGGAUUCGACAGGCGUAGAUUCGCAUUGACUGCGAUCCGUAGGUCACGUCUGCGUUAACAACGUCAACAGUUUUAUAACUGCAAAUAAAGAAAAUUCUUACGCAUUAGCUGCUUAAUUUAAGCGCAUGUGUUGCUUUUUAUCGGAUUACUCACGUCUGGUUAAAAGUAUCAACUUAGUGAGUUACGUUUAACUACCUCAUCUGAAUAGUUAAAAAGAGUCAUUUCAGGUUAGUUAGUCCAUUCUAGCCCUGUUAUAUGGCGUUUUGGAUUAGUGAAAUUCAAGUAAUAUAACUAUGAUUGUAGAUGUCAGUGACGGAAUGCGUUUGGACAGGGGUUCAAUUCCCCUCAUCUCCAUAU
rfam:Lactobacillus apis strain Hma11 genomic scaffold Hma11_scaffold2, whole genome shotgun sequence.